rnacentral:rRNA from 1 species
UACGUAGGGUGCGAGCGUUAAUCGGAUUUACUGGGCGUAAAGCGUGCGCAGGCGGCCCGUUAAGACAGGGGUGAAAUCCCUGGGCUCAACCUAGGAAUUGCGCUUGUGACUGGCGGGCUCGAGUACGGUAGAGGGGGGUGGAAUUCCUGGUGUAGCAGUGAAAUGCGUAGAGAUCAGGAGGAACACCGAUGGCGAAGGCAGCCCCCUGGGCCUGUACUGACGCUCAUGCACGAAAGCGUGGGGAGCAAACAGG